CAGGCUAUGGGCUGGGCGGCGGUUGAGACAGCGGCGGUAUUGGGAGGGGUAGGUGAGGGUCGCGAGGCUGCGUGAGCAUCUGAGUGAACGCGGUGCUUUUGGGAACGCGGGACGGGCGACCUGUGGCGCCAGGAGCGGGCCGAGGCGCGGCGCACGGAUGCCAUCUGGAUGGGAAGUUACGGUUUACAGCGAAGUCCACCCAGCGUUUCCGAGGUGAAGGCGCCGCGCCAGGCCGGGGGGCGGCAAUCUGAAAGCAAAUCCUGUUUAGAUGCAGGCGAAGGUUCCUGGUGACCCAGGCUCUCACCUUACCGUCCCUUACCGUCCUCCUGAGGGUGUCCUGGAGCUUCAGUGCUGUGUGUUCUUGGCCUCCACGCUGGGGGUGCCACCAACUCCCACUGUCCAGGGCUUCCAGUGGACUCUCCGAGGUACUGAUGUAGAAACUUCCCCAUUCGGUGCACCAAGAGCAACCUCACACGGUGUGGGCCGAAUGAAGAGCUGCCAGAUCCCACAGAAAUGUGAUUGAUAACAGUAAAGCCACACUCCUCAAGUGCCUGAAAUACCCCUCAUUGUCUUCUUCAGGUGGCAAG
rnacentral:lncRNA from 1 species